AAGGGGUGAAGAAGGAGAAGAAGAAGGAAGCAAGGAAACGAGUUCUAGUGCCAAGAUCCAAGAUCAAGUGUGAACUUAUUCAGGGAUUUGUAGCCGAGGAGAUUCAGGAGCAGCAGCCGUUAGCUUUCCGAGCCACACACUCAUCCGCUAGCUUACGAGGUACUUCCGCAAGCAAAGGGAAGAGCUCUGGAUGACGGCAUCGCACACACCACCGCCUCAGCUUUAGCCUGGGAUUGAUUUAGAUGUUUGACCUGAUGUAGUAUGAUACAGUUUUUCCGCACAGUAUUUUAUUAUGUUUUGGAAUACAUCACGUAUGGUUUUAUUAUAUGAUGCUCUGAUUGCAGUUUUGAUUAUAUUAAAAACAAAAAUUUUUGGGUCGUAUUUUUGGGUCGUUUCAUGAAGAUCGGGGGAGCUGCCGGAGCAAACCCCAUUCACGCACCUGCCCAGGCUCUCUCUUUUUCCUCCAUCCUCCCUGUCGAUUUGAACAACAAUCCAAAUUUGUAACUGUUUUAGAGGCAACUGCCAAAUGCCAAUAGAUCAUGAAAACGUUAUUCAUGGAGCUUGAACAAAUAUAUAAAAGUUAUUAUAUUUGAAACAAAUUUAUGAGGUAAUAAUUUUGUAAUAAACCACACAACUUUGACUUAUCUCAUUCAACCAUUUUACCUCCUACAAUUAGUUUUCUUAUAACCUGAUAAAAAACGACAAAAAAAAGAAGAAAUUUUAUAUGAUUUAUCCAAAAUUACCUCCAUUGUUUCUUGAUUCUCAAUUUAUCAAGGUCAU